ensembl:snRNA U6 U6 spliceosomal RNA
GUGUUCAUUUCAAGAGCACAUAUGCUAAAAUUGGAAUGAUACAGAGAAGAUUAGCAUGGCCCCUGUGCAAGAACGAUGUAAAUUUGUGAAACAUUAAAAGAAUAGUA